UACGUAGGGUGCAAGCGUUGUCCGGAAUACUGGGCGUAAAGCGUGCGCAGGCGGUGAUGUAAGACAGAUGUGAAAUCCCCGGGCUCAACCUGGGAACUGCAUUUGUGACUGCAUCGCUGGAGUGCGGCAGAGGGGGAUGGAAUUCCGCGUGUAGCAGUGAAAUGCGUAGAUAUGCGGAGGAACACCGAUGGCGAAGGCAAUCCCCUGGGCCUGCACUGACGCUCAUGCACGAAAGCGU
rnacentral:rRNA from 1 species